GUAGGUGGCAAGCGUUGUCCGGAAUUAUUGGGCGUAAGCGCGCGCAGGCGGUUCUUUAAGUCUGAUGUGAAAGCCCACGGCUCAACCGUGGAGGGUCAUUGGAAACUGGACGAACUUGAGUACAGAAGAGGAAAGCGGAAUUCCACGUGUAGCGGUGAAAUGCGUAGAGAUGUGGAGGAACACCAGUGGCGAAGGCGGCUUUCUGGUCUGUAACUGACGCUGAGGCGCGAAAGCGUGGGGAGCAAACAGGAUUAGAUACCCUGGUAGUCCACGCCGUAAACGAUGAGUGCUAAGUGUUAGGGGGUUUCCGCCCCCCUUAGUGCUGCAGCUAACGCAUUAAGCACUCCGCCCUGGGAGUACGGCCGCAAGGCUG
rnacentral:rRNA from 1 species